GCUACUACCGAUUGAAUGGUUUAGUGAGGACUCCUGAUUGGCGCCGCCGCCCCGGCAACGGAGCAGCGGACUGCCGAAAAGUUGUUCAAACCUGAUCAUUUAGAGGAAGUAAAAGUCGUAACAAGGUUUCCGUAGGUGAACCUGCAGAAGGAUA
rnacentral:misc_RNA from 1 species